rnacentral:tRNA from 1 species
AGAGACUUAGGAUAAUCAAUCAAACCAGGGGCCUUCAAAGCCCAAAAUAGAGACGAAACCACUCUAGUUUCUG